GGUGAAAAGAUAUAUAUAUAUAUAUAUUCAGAAUUAGGCAGCUGGACUCAGUUUAGAUGAUCCCAAUUUUGUUGGCAACAUCCAAAGCAUCGUAAUCAGGAGCCAGUCGAACAUAUGCCUUCUUCUCUCCAUCAGGCCGAAUCAGGAUGUUGACCUUGGCCACAUCAAUGUCAUAGAGCUUCUUCACAGCCUGUUUAAUCUGGUGCUUGUUGGCUUUAACAUCCACAAUGAACACAAGUGUGUUGUUGUCUUCUAUCUUCUUCAUGGCAGACUCAGUGGUCAGCGGAAACUUGAUGAUAGCAUAGUGGUCAAGCUUGUUUCUCCUGGGAGCGCUCUUCCGAGGAUAUUUGGGCUGUCUCCGGAGUCGCAGUGUCUUCGGCCGCCGGAAGGUGGGUGACGUGCGGAUCUUCUUCUUUUUGUGGCUGUGGACACCUUUCAACACUGCCUUCUUGGCCUUUAAAGCCUUCGCUUUGGCUUCAGCUUUAGGAGGGGCAGGAGCUUCCUUCUUCGCUUUCGGCGCCAUGUUGUGAAAAGGGUCCAUAUGCUGUGUUUUAAGCUUCAAAUAUGUGGAUGUUUUCUUGGCUUUGUGCUAUUUUAAUUA
rnacentral:lncRNA from 1 species